rnacentral:rRNA from 1 species
GACGAACCGAGCGAACGUUAUUCGGAAUUACUGGGCGUAAAGCACACGUAGGCGGCUUUGUAAGUUAGAGGUGAAAGCCCGGGGCUCAACUCCGGAACUGCCUUUAAGACUGCAUCGCUUGAAUCCGGGAGAGGUGAGUGGAAUUCCGAGUGUAGAGGUGAAAUUCGUAGAUAUUCGGAAGAACACCAGUGGCGAAGGCGGCUCACUGGACCGGUAUUGACGCUGAGGUGCGAAAGCGUGGGGAGCAAACAGG